CCUACGGGAGGCAGCAGUGAGGAAUAUUGGUCAAUGGACGAGAGUCUGAACCAGCCAAGUAGCGUGAAGGAUGACUGCCCUAUGGGUUGUAAACUUCUUUUAUAGGGGAGUAAAACAGGGUAUGAGUACCCUAUGGUAUGUACCAUAUGAAUAAGGAUCGGCUAACUCCGUGCCAGCAGCCGCGGUAAUACGGAGGAUCCGAGCGUUAUCCGGAUUUAUUGGGUUUAAAGGGAGCGUAGGUGGAAUGUUAAGUCAGUUGUGAAAGUUUGCGGCUGAACCGUAAAAUUGCAGUUGAAACUGGCAGUCUUGAGUACAGUAGAGGUGGGCGGAAUUCGUGGUGUAGCGGUGAAAUGCUUAGAUAUCACGAAGAACUCCGAUUGCGAAGGCAGCUCACUGGACUGCAACUGACACUGAUGCUCGAAAGUGUGGGUAUCAAACAGGAUUAGAUACCCGAGUAGUC
rnacentral:rRNA from 1 species